AACGAACGCUGGCGGCAGGCUUAACACAUGCAAGUCGAACGGUUGUAGCAAUACAGCAGUGGCAGACGGGUGAGUAACACGUGGGAACCUUCCUAGGGGUACGGAACAACUCAGGGAAACUUGAGCUAAUACCGUAUACGUCCGUGAGGAGAAAGAUUUAUCGCCCUUAGACGGGCCCGCGUCGGAUUAGCUAGUUGGUGGGGUAACGGCCUACCAAGGCGACGAUCCGUAGCUGAUCUUAGAGGAUGAUCAGCCACACUGGGACUGAGACACGGCCCAGACUCCUACGGGAGGCAGCAGUGGGGAAUCUUGGACAAUGGGCGCAAGCCUGAUCCAGCCAUGCCGCGUGAGUGAAGAAGGUCUUCGGAUUGUAAAGCUCUUUUACCAGGGACGAUAAUGACGGUACCUGGAGAAUAAGCCCCGGCAAACUUCGUGCCAGCAGCCGCGGUAAAUGCGUACGUACGA
rnacentral:rRNA from 1 species